AUUGAACGCUGGCGGCAGGCCUAACACAUGCAAGUCGAACGGUAACAGGGGGAAGCUUGCUUCUUUGCUGACGAGUGGGGGGCGGGAGGGUAAUGUCUGUGAACCUGCCUGAUGGAGGGGGCUACCUACUGGGAACGGUAACUACUACCGCCUAACGUCGCAAAACCAAAAAGGGGGACCUUCCGGCCUCUUGCCAUCGCAUGUGCCCAGAUGGGAUUAGCUAGUAGGUGGGGUAAAGGCUUACCUAGGCGACGAUCCCUAGCUGGUCUGAGAGGAUGACCAGCCACACUGGAACUGAGACACGGUCCAGACUCCUACGGGAGGCAGCAGUGGGGAAUAUUGGACAAUGGGCGCAAGCCUGAUGCAGCCAUGCCGCGUGUAUGAAGAAGGCCUUCGGGUUGUAAAGUACUUUUGGUGGGGAGGAAGGGAUUAAGGUUAAUACCUCGGCUGGUUGACGUUACCGGAAGAAUAAGCACCGGCUAACUCCGUG
rnacentral:rRNA from 1 species